rnacentral:sRNA from 1 species
GUGGGAGCCGGUGGGACCCCCACCCCCACCCACCCAGCUUACCAACUCGGGGAGGCAGGAGGGGCGCCGAGCUUGCUGGGAUUGGAGUGGGACUCCGCCAUGUCACCGUGGACUGGUGGUCCAUCGCCCCCUCCCCAAAAGUCCUGGACCGCAAGUACCGAUGUGGUGAGAAGGACCCGGCUGAGGGAUGGAGCCUCAGUUUUCCUGGGGACCACAGCAGGGCCCCACAAGGGGUCGUAUGUGCAGAGGAUUCUGCCAUCUUCCUGGGGGUCCUUAGGCCCAGGCCCUGAGGGAGGGGCUGUGAAGGCCUGAGGACAGCAUUCCUGCCCUCCCUAACCACAUCAGGGUCCCGGGCCGACCUGCCGUCCGUUGUACCCCUCCCCAGGCACAGACUGUGACUACAUCCAAGACUUGUGCAGGCCCCCAGCCCCACCCCGCCUUGAAUGGGGGCUUAGGGUGACCAGUGAGGGAGGCAGUCUCUGAACAGGGCCCUAAGGAGCGAGUUGAUCUCAGUUCUAGUUGGAGAGACUGGCGAGUGGUCAGUGGAGUCUCUGGGUGGUGGGCAGGCAGGGAGACCCUCAGACACCCCCUGCCCAGCCCAGGCUUCUUCCCAGGGAGGUCUGAGGGUGGGGUGACACUGGGGAGGCACAGACGCAGGCGUCCUGGACACCUUCUCCCUGCACCACGCCAGACCCCGUACUUCUGGACAAGUACCCUGUGGCCGGCUGCAGAACUGGACUAUGGUGAGCAAGGGGACGGCUGGCCCCAGACAAGUUCCCAGGACUGGGGGCCUCAGGGUGAUGCCGUGAGGCAGGGCAGAGCUGGCCCCUCUGCAGGCUGUCCCUGUCCUUCCAGCCAUCUACCUGGCCAAGAAGAACAUCCGAAAACGGGGGACCCUGGUGGACUAUGAGAAGGACUGCUAUGACCAGCUACACAAGAAGAUCAACCACGCGUGGGACCUGGUGCUGAUGCAGGCGAGGGAGCAGCUGAGGGCAGCCAAGCAGCGCAGGAAGGGGGACAGGCUGGUCAUUGCGUGCCAGGAGCAGACCUACUGGCUGGUGAACAGGCCCCCGCCCGGGGCCCCCAAUGUGCUGGAGCAGGGUCCGGGGCGGGGAUCCUGCGCUGCCAGCCGUGUGCUCAUGGUGAGCCCCUGCGUGCGUGCUGGCCGCCCUCUCACCCUGCACACCGGCUGCACCCUGCUGGACCCACCAUGGGACUGCCCAGCUGUCCGUCAUUUGCUCCACCCAGAGGGCACUUGGUGCAGCCUCCCCAAGCCCCUGCUCACUCCCGGUCACUCCCUGUUCCCAGGCCCCUGCUAACUGUCGCUUUCUCUCCCCUCCCACCUGCUGCCCUGGGUGCAGGUAAGUGGAGUGGUGGGGACGAGGGGGCUGGCGGGGAGGAAGGGGGCUCUUCUCCAGAACAGUAUCAGGGUUUGCUGGAAAUUGGAGGGGUGACAAGCAGGGUUACGGCCUCUGACAGACCUGAGCAGAUCCAGCAACCUCCCUCCAGGUGGAGGCCUCCAGAACCAGAGGGACCAGACCAGAGGGAGCAUCUGAGCCCCGCAGCAGCAAAACCCUUUGCUCAAACCAGUCCCAUCCAGACCCAACAUCUGGAAAGAUGCACCUAGAACCUCACUGAUAAAACUUCUUAAGUUCACGACCCUAACAUUUCCCCAUACAAAGCUGGUCAGAGAGAGCGGGGACACAGGCCAGGACUCGCAGCGCGUCCGCCUCCUCCACUCUGGCCCCAGCGAGGUGCCGACCAAUGAACGUCACACCUGGUUCCCCAGUGAUCCCCAUUAGUAGUAUUUCUCAAGUAUGUGUUGUUUAAAAACAUAAUUUAAGUACAUUUGAAAAUGUGACAUAUUAGGCCGGGCGCGGUGGCUCACGUCUCUAAUCCCAGCACUUUGGGAGGCCGAGGCGGGCAGAUCACCUGAGUUCAGGAGUUCGAGACCAGCCAGAUCAACAUGGAGAAACCAAGUCUCUACUAAAAAUAGAAAAUUAGCCGGGCGUGGUGGCGCGUGCUUGUAGUCCCAGCUACUGGAGAGGCUGAGGCAGGAGAAUGGCUUGAAGCCAGGAGGCGGAGGUUGCGGUGAGCCGAGAUCGCACCACUGCACUCCAGCCUGGGCAACAAGAGUGAAACUGUCUCAAAAAAAUAAUAAAGAAAAAAAAUGACACAUUACUCACAACUGCAACUUUGAGAACCUGAGGGUUCCGUGGAAUAUUCCACAGAUCGCCAGCCUUAGGCCCCCAGAGGUCUCCUCGAAAGUCAGAUCCCUGAUUGGAAGAAGGGGCUCCAAGGGGCGGGACUGGGGGCCUGGGCCACCAUCUCUGCCAGAUCUAUGUGGCAGGGGCUCAGUCUGGGGAGGUGCCCUCCUGCUGGGGAUUUUGGACCCCAGCAGGGGACCUGCAUCUAACUGCAGCCCACCUGUCCCCUUCUAGACCAAGAGUGCAGAUUUCUAUAAGCGGGAGGUAAGUUCUGGAGCUGGGAGUGGAGGGUGCCAGGUGCCUUCCCCAGCCGGGGACCUGACUCACAGGCCCCACAUCCUAGAUUGAGUACUUCAGGAAAGCGCUGGGCAGGACCCGAGUGAAGUCGUCCGUCUGCCUUGAGGCGUGAGUGGGGUGAGGGGUGGCAGCUGGAGACCCCUGCUGAGUGCGCUAGCUCCUGAGGCCCCUCCUGCACCAGCCCCGAUACCCCCUUCCAGGUACCUGAGUUUCUGCGGCCAGCGUGGACCCCACGACCCCCUCGUGUCGGGGUGCCUGCCCAGCAAUCCCUGGAUCUCAGACAAUGACGCCUACUGGGUCAUGAAUGCCCCCACGGUGGCUGCCCCCACGAAGCUCCGUGUGGAGAGAUGGGGCUUCAGCUUCCGGGAGCUCCUGGAGGACCCCAUGGGGCGGGCCCACUUCAUGGACUUUCUGGGAAAGGAGUUCAGUGGAGAAAACCUCAGCUUCUGGGAGGCAUGUGAGGAGCUUCGAUAUGGAACGCAGGCCCAGGUCCCCACCCUGGUGGAUGCCGUGUAUGAGCAGUUCCUGGCCCCCGGAGCUGCCCGCUGGGUCAACAUCGACAGCCGGACCAUGGAGCAGACCCUGGAGAGGCUGCGCCAGCCCCACCGCUACGUCCUGGAUGACGCCCAGCUGCACAUAUACAUGCUCAUGAAGAAGGACUCCUACCCAAGGUUCCUGAAGUCUGACAUGUACAAGGGCCUCCUGGCAGAGGCUGGGAUCCCGCUGGAGACGAAGAGACGCGUGUUCCCGUUUACGUGGAGGCCACGGCACUCGAGCCCCAGCCCUGCACUCCUUCCCACCCCUGUGGAGCCCACAGCGGCUUGUGGCCCUGGGGGUGGAGAUGGGGUGGCCUAGUGGACCUGGCCCAUCUGCCACUCUAGUCCCUGCAGCUCAAUGUCCUGCGUGAAUGCAGCAGCCACCCCCCUCUUGGCCCAGGUCCUGGGGGCUGCUGAACCCAGCACCAGUGUCCCCUUGUGCCCAGGGGGCCCAGUCUUGCUGUGGGGUGCACAGCCUCCCUCCCUCCAGCAAGCCCUCCCUGCCCAGAAGGAAUGGGUCCAGGUGUGGAUUCCCAGGGAGGGGGUUCAUUGGCACAGCUUGGCUCAGGGCAGCGCCUGUUACCUGAAGAGAGGUGAGACCAAGGCCACAGGGAGCUCCACCUUCUCUGGUCUUCAGUCCAGCACUGGGUGCCCAUCCUCAUCUCUAAAACCAGUAAAUCAGCCAGCGAAUACCCAGAAGCAAGAUGCACAGGCGGGCGGCUUCCCACACACCCGUCACAAGACGCGGACAUGCAGGUCUCGGCGCGAGCUCUGCCCCGUCCAAGCGCCUCUCCGCUGUCGCCCAGUGUGAGCCUGGAAGAGGACCCAAGAGAGUGCCGUGCUGAGGCUGCCUCGAGGUCACUGCCUUCUGGAGCUGCGCCUAUUCCUCCCUCGCCAAACGCGUUCCAGAAUUUGUCCACAGGUGCGCCGGCACCUGCUUUUCCACCUCGAGGCCGCGGCCUCCCCCCCAGAUUUAUAGACAACUCUGACAUUGUCACCCCACUGACGAGGCCCCUGAUUCCAUAGGGUGGAUCCUUGCCAGGUGUCCCUGAUCCUCCCUGCCCAAGCCUUCCUUCGUGAGCUGGCAUUGCUCCCCAUCCCCCAAGUGCCUCACCACUCCCCCAGACUGGGUGAAGGUACAGCUGGCUCCUUUUGGGGGUGCAGCUUCAACUCUCUCGGCGGUAGGGCGGUGCCAUCCCCACAUAUAGGGCUGGCUCACAUCCAGUCACUCCCAACAGCAUCCAGCACACAAAUAAAAGACCCUUGGGCCCUG